CCUACGGGCGGCUGCAGUGAGGAAUAUUGGUCAAUGGGCGGAAGCCUGAACCAGCCAAGUCGCGUGCGGGACGACGGUCCUAUGGAUUGUAAACCGCUUUUGUCGGGGAACAAAGGCGCCCACGGGUAGGCGGAUGAGUGUACCCGAAGAAAAAGCAUCGGCUAACUCCGUGCCAGCAGCCGCGGUAAUACGGAGGAUGCGAGCGUUAUCCGGAUUUAUUGGGUUUAAAGGGGGCGUAGGCGGACAGUCAAGUCAGCGGUAAAAAUGCGGUGCUAAACGCCGUAUAGCCGGGGAAACUGGGAGUCUUGAGUGGGCGAGAAGUAGGCGGAAUGCGUGGUGUAGCGGUGAAAUGCUUAGAGAUCAUACAGAACACCGAUUGCGAAGGCAGCUUACCAAGCUACUUCUGACGUUGAGGCACGAAAGCGUGGGGAGCAAACAGGAUUAGAUACCCCAGUAGUC
rnacentral:rRNA from 1 species